rnacentral:tmRNA from 1 species
GGGGUUGACUGGAUUUGACGGCAAGAUGAAAUGGUACGUAAGCACGCGGAGCUGGGCUAUGGGAGGCUCCUUAAUCUCUUCUGUAGGAAAAUUAAUUGGCAACAAUGAGUAUGCUCUCGCUGCUUAAUCGAAGCACAGUAGAUUAUGAGCUUAAUUCCACUACAAGGUAGAGGAACGAGACGUCGCUCCGAGGAUGUUGUUCCGAAUCCGAAGAUCAAGCGGCGCAGGUUAAAUCGGAAAUAGUUCUUCAAGGCUCCGAUUGGGGAAUGAAACUUUAGGAGAUAAGGCCGUGAUUGGUGGCUUGGGUCUUGUCACGGCACGAAAACGAAGUCCAAGAUAAGCGUGUAGAAAGCGUAUGGUUUCCUUGUGCGGACGAGGGUUCGACUCCCUCCAGCUCCACU